rnacentral:sRNA from 1 species
CUCUGUCGCUUGCUGUGGGCAUAUAAAGUGAAUGUGCGUGUCAACACCCCCGGCCGUGAUGAUUUUACCCUCGCCAGCCACGACGUCGGUACAGCUCCCCACAACCAUGUUGGAAGUCACGCCAUCCAUAACGUCGGGACUGCCCGCCUUGCCGAUGCCGACAAUGAUGCCAUCUUUAACGCCAAUAUCAGCCUUGUAUAUGCCUGUCCAGUCGACAAUGAGCGCAUUCGUUACCACUAGGUCGAGCGUUUCGGCGUCGGACCGGCCCGUUGCCUGGCCCAUACCCUCUCUAAGAG